rnacentral:rRNA from 1 species
CCUACGGGUGGCUGCAGUCGGGAAUUUUGGGCAAUGGGGGCAACCCUGACCCAGCAACGCCGCGUGAGCGAUGAAGGCCUUCGGGUCGUAAAGCUCUGUCGGGAGGGAAGAAGGUCCUCGGGGUGAACAAUCCCGGGGGCUUGACGGUACCUCCAAAGGAAGCGCCGGCUAACUCCGUGCCAGCAGCCGCGGUCAUACGGAGGGCGCAAGCGUUGUUCGGAGUCGCUAGGCGUAACGGUAGUGCGGGUGGGAAAGCCCGGGGCCUAACCCCGGAACUGCACUGGAGACUGCCUCGCUCGAGUCCCGGAGAGGAUGGUGGAAUUCCCGGUGUAGUGGUGAAAUACGUAGAUAUCGGGAGGAACACCAGCGGCGAAGGCGGCCAUCUGGACGGUGACUGACGCUGAGACGCGAAAGCGUGGGGAGCAAACAGGAUUAGAUACCCGAGUAGUC